AACAAGUGGAUAACUCAAACA
rnacentral:sRNA from 1 species